rnacentral:lncRNA from 1 species
CUUGGCCCUGCAGUUAUAGCGCAGCUUAGGAAAUGAGGGCCGUGUGUCACUCAUUCCUUUUUGCUUUGGACCUCUUCGUGUCUUAAUGGCUGCCUUAUGACUUCUACCUUCACUUCUCUAAAUGUUUACUUUCUCAGUGCAUAAAAUGUUUUUCAAAGCCACGUGCAGUUAUGAUUAUCAGUAUGGGCUUUGUCUUACGGUGUCACACUGAAGGUGUGGCUGCUUUCUCUGUUUCUGAGGUCUUCUGCAUGACUGAGCAGGGAAUGCAACGCUUGGGCUUGGGAUCAUAGAAUGAUAGAACCACGUAAUGGCCUGGGUUGCAAAGGCCCACAGUGCUCAUUGAGUUCCAACCCCCCCUGCUGUGUGCAGGGUCACCAACCACCAGAGCAGGCUGCCCAGAGAACCCAUAGGGUGCCACAGGGAUCCAUAGGGUGCCAUAGGGAUCCAUAGGGUG